rnacentral:rRNA from 1 species
AUGUUUUGGCCGGAGAAUUUAAUCGGAGUUCAAUCUUCAUUUUGGCGGUUGGCCCAUUUAGGAUUGCCAUUGUCUGGACCAUGGGCCAUAGAUGUGAAGAAUUGUACUCAUUCCCUCAAACGAUGCCUCCUUCAAGAACCCCACUACCCUAGGGUUGAAUUUGAGUUGUGCGUGGAAGAGUUUUUGAGUGGGAGAAACAUAUGGUGGAAGGGAUGCGGUUGGAGAGGAAGGGGAGAACUUCAUGUCGGGUGCCUAUUUUCUCAACUUCGAAGCAUAUUCUUCAAGAGUUUAAUUACUAAUUUAAAGGAUUUUCAGAUAUUAUUUGAAUUAUGA